UACGGAGGGUGCAAACGUUGCUCGGAAUCAUUGGGCGUAAAGCGCACGUAGGCGGCCUAGCAAGUCGGGUGUGAAAUCCCUCGGCUUAACCGAGGAAGUGCAUUCGAAACUACUGGGCUUGAAUACUCAAGAGGGUCUCGGAAUUCCCGGUGUAGAGGUGAAAUUCGUAGAUAUCGGGAGGAACACCAGUGGCGAAGGCGGAGACCUGGGGAGAUAUUGACGCUGAGGUGCGAAAGCGUGGGGAGCAAACAGG
rnacentral:rRNA from 1 species